rnacentral:rRNA from 1 species
AUACGGAGGGUGCAAGCGUUACUCGGAAUCACUGGGCGUAAAGCGCACGCAGGCGGUCUUUUAAGUUGGAUGUGAAAGCCUACGGCUCAACCGUAGAACUGCAUCCAAAACUAUUAGACUAGAGUGUGGGAGAGGAAGAUGGAAUUAGUUGUGUAGGGGUAAAAUCCGUAGAGAUAACUAGGAAUACCAAAAGCGAAGGCAAUCUUCUGGAACACUACUGACGCUGAGGCGCGAAAGCGUGGGGAGCAAACAGGAUUAGAUACCCUUGUAGUCC